CUCGUUGACGGGAUGAGGGCCACCCUCGAAAAGAUCUGUUGCCACUCGGUUAAGAAAUCAGAAACAAGGAGCAGGAGAAAAAGCAAGACCCUGCAGCUGGAGUGGCUAGACACAGAACUGCCCUCCUCGGAAGUAUCAAAGGACCCAGCUCCUGGGGACGGCCCCCAAGUUACCCUAUGAGUUAGGGAGGGAUAACCACCCCCACACCAGAGAUUGACAAGCUGGGAUGCAGAGAAAGAAGCAAGUUUCCCAGUAUCCUGCAGGCUGCAGAAUUUAUUUUCUGGGUUCCAGCGUUCUUCCGUCACCUUCCACGCCCUCCUCUGUCAUGGCCCACAGAGCCACAAGAGCUCCUUCAGACUGGUGUUUGGAGAGAAUGGCUUAUGGAUAUCAUCUUUAACUUUGCUAAAUGCAAGUCCAUUUUGUCUUGGGCAAUACAGACCUUUCUGCCUGUUGAGGAACAACUCAGCUGUCACAUUCCCAUCUUUUUUUCCACCAUAAGGGCAACUCUUAUAGAGAGAACAUGAGGUGAUGGACCCAUAAUCUUGCUGGGGCUGAGAUCAGAGGUCACCAAAACUGAGGACCCAUGGGCCUAGUUCUGCACGGCUAUAGUCAGAGCUGAUUAGCAGCAGCCCUUUCUAAGCCAAGGGUUCUUAACCUAGAGUUCAUGGAUGUAGACGUGUGUAUAGAACUCACAUGGCCAUGAACUCGGAUGGGAAAAAAUUGUAUCUUUAUUUUUACUAACAUCUAACUGAAAUUUAGCAUUUUAUUCAAUAAUGAAUAUAGGCAAGAAACUACUGUGGUAUUAGCAGUGCCUUAAUGUGUCACCAGUAGAAGUCACAGAUGUUUUCCUAUCAUAUUACAGUGGUUGCAGAUACCUUGAAAAAUUGCUUAUAUUCACCACUACUUGAAAAUAUGGUAGUUAUUAGUGUGGCUGCUAGAUCUUCUUGUUUAAUGCAUUAAGAAGCACAUAUAUUACUAUAUCACAUGUUUGCGUGUUUUUUAAUACUUUGAUAAUUAUAUUUCUAUGUAAUUGGCUUCCUUGGUAAUUCUAUGUGUCUUAUGUUAUGCCUUUUACAGCAUUAUUCUGAGAAGGGUCCACAGGCUUCAACAGAUGCCAAAGGGGUUCACGACACACACAAAAAAAAUGGGUAAGAACCUUCCUUUAGAUUCUCCAGUUUGCCUCAGUUUCUGAGUGUCCAAGUCAUUCAUUUUGUAACAUUCCUAAUGCUUGUGGGAUUUUGAGUUGGUUUGUUUAAAUUUAGUGAUGUUUUAGACCACUUUUUCUUUGCAGUAGGAGAUUUGUGCUAUUACCACAGGUGAUAUCAUAGUCAUUCAUUCAUUUUAUUAUUCAUUUAUUUAAAAUAUCCUUAAUAACCUUUAUUAAGCUUUCUGUCAAGUAUUGUGAAAGAUUAUCAAAUGAAUAAGACAUUGUCCCUGCCUCCAAGAUCUUGCACUCUAAUAAGAAGCUUGUCAUUCCUAUAAACUCUUUAUUAAAUUAUAAGUGUUCCAUGCUGUUAUUCCCACCACUAGCAAGAUCUACUCCUUAACAAAGAACAUCCUAUCCAGCCUUAUGCCAAAAGUUGUCGAGGAACAGGAAUUUUGUUUCUUUUUCAUCUUCUUCCAGGAAUUGUUAGGACAUUCAUCCAAAAGCCAUUUGUUAAGCACCGGUUGGAUGUGUGGACAAGGGAGAUAGAUGACUCUCAAAUUUCUGGCCUGAGUGUCGAAGUGGAGAAUUCUACUUUUCAGCAAGAAACAGAAUGUGUGUGAGGAGCGAGGGGAGAUCAAACUUGUGAGGGAAGGAAAUUGUUGAGCUUUGAACUUGGUGAGUUUGAGGUUGGAUGACUAUAGUCGGAUAUAUGGAUCCAAAGCUUAGAAAAAAGUCUAGGUUCGAAAUCUUAACGUGGGGGUCAUAGUUGCAUAUGUGGUACGUAAAACUAUUGGCAAGGAUGAGAUUGCUCUUUUACCAUGCAGACAUGCAUUCUUUGAGGACUUUUAAGUAGCUGAAGACAAUGACAGGUGUACAAUAAGUAACCCCCCAACCCCCUCCCUCCACCAAACAACAAAAUAGAUUCAGAACUACGAAAUCUCUAUGCAAAACCACACUCUCGAUGCUACUUGAAGAGAAUGCCAGAGUGCUUAAAACAAAAUUGUGAGCAAAAAGAGAAAAAGAAAUGAGUCCCAUGCCCUCUGUCCCUCCCUUUCUCACCACAGAGCUCUGCCGCAAGCAAAGGCAGACCAAUAAAAACUACUAGAAAUCCACAGGAGGGCAUAGGCAAGGGGAUCCUAGGGAGAGCUGGAAAGGGUGCCAGAAAAAUUAAAUAGAGCAGGACUUCAGGAAGGGGAUUUCAAAGUAUGUGCCUUUUAAUAGGUAGGCAGAUAAUUAAAGGACAAGACACAAUUUAAAGGGAUAGACACAGUUGAAAUGAGCAAGUGUGAUUUAAAGGGAUGGUCUUUCAAACACAUAACUUCUAGGAGAGAAAAAAAGUGGGGGGGGGGGAAUGAAGAAAAAAGCAUCGUUUAGCAAUGAGGUGGUAAGAAAAAAAUGUAGGAUCCCACAAGAAAAAGUAGAUCAACAAAAUUGGUGGACUCAGAAUUCCUCCCCUACCACCAAAACAAACAACAAAAUCCAGCUAAAGUACCCGAAUUUUACUAGAACAACAGUAAAGAAUGCCAUUUAACUGGGAACCAUGUAAAAUGUUCCAAUAUCGCAAAAUGAAAAACAGAACAAUAAAAUCCAAACAGGAGCAUUGCAGAACAAACUUUCAUGCAAAUUAACUGAGGAAAAUCCAAACUCCCCCAAGAAAAGACAUGAAACAGAAGGAAACUUUAAGUUUACACUUCACACUAAAUUAAAUAUAUCCUAACAAGCAUUUGAAGAUAUGAAAGACCACUUCAAAUUAGAAAUUCAAACACUGAGAGUAGAAAUGGACAGAAGAAAAAAACAUAUAGAGAAAUAAAAAAAUAGUUGACUGAAUUCAGAAAAGAAAUGGAAGAGAAAAAGACAUUAUCUCAGAAAUAAAGAUGAAAUUACACAAUGCCCAAUGAAAAACAGACUUAAGUGAAAAUUUAAUAAGAGACAUUGACAAAAAGCAAGAAAACAACAAAGAGAAUGAAAAUGAUACAAAUGAAGAUAUAAAGUAGAUCAGAGAAAAAUAGUGAAAGCAGAAGACAGGCAAAGAAGGAACAAUAUUUGUAUUAUUGGAGUCCCUAAAGAAGAAAAAGAAAACAAAUGAAACACAAUGACUAUUGAAAAUUAUAAUCCAAAAAAUUUUUCCAGAAAUAGAAAAAGACCUGAAUCUACACUUUGAAAAGGUUUAGUAGGUACCUAGGAAAAUUAACCCAGAAUGAUCAAAACUGAGAUAUAUCCCAGUAAAACUAUUAGAUUUCAAAGAGGAAAAUAAAAUCUUCAAGACCUCCAGGCAAAACAAUAAUAAUAAUCUUUGCAAAAUUAUUUUUUUGCAAAAUUAGUAAUGGCAAAAGAGUUCAAAUGGCACCAGAGUUUCUAAAACCAAAGUACAAAGGAGUAACAUUUUUUAAAAGUUCAAUGAAGGAAAUUAUGAACAAAGGAUUUUAUAUAUAGUCAAGCUGUCCUUGACUAUACCAGUUAACAAUACUAGGGGCUGGCCCCAUGGCGGUGUGGUUAAGUUCAUGUGCUCUGCUUCAGUGGCCCAGGGUGUCACCGGUUCAGAUCCUAGAUGAGGACAUGGCACCACUCAUUAGGCCAUGCUGAGGCCGCAUCCCACAUGCCACAACUAGAAGGACCCACAAGUAAAAUAUACAACUAUGUACUAGCGGGAUUUGGGGAGAAAAAGCAGAAAAAAAAAGAUUGGCAACAGUUGUUAGCUCAGGUGCCAAUCUUAAAAAAUAUAUAUAUAUAUCAUAUAAAAGUUAUGUCAAAUAACGAUUUUCAAUAUAUAAGAACAUAUGGAAUUUUGUACCCAUAAAGUAUUCUUGAAGAAUUUACUAAAGAAUAAGCUUUAUCCAACAAACUGUGACUAGGAAAACUUCAAUAAAAAGUCUGAUAUGAGGCAUUGUAAAAUAUAUAAAUAUACACACAAUAUUAAAUCAAAUUGGAGAUGGAAGUGAAAGACUACCAUAUAGCUGUUAUGUAUCAUGACAAAGUAGAAACAUUGCAACUAAAAUUUGGGAAAAGAGAGGGGAAAAAGUAGAUAUGCCUAUAUUGCAGUAUAGGCAUUAAGAGGACAGUAGAGGAUCAAAAUCCUGAUUUGGGGAAAAAGUUAAAAAAAUUAGAUAAACCACAGGCUAACUUGAUCCCAAAAAAGAGCAAAAGUACAAAUAUACAGAAAAGGAAAAAAUUAAUGAAAAGAGAGAAAUAAUCAUUGAAAUAGAAAAAGAUUUAUAGAUCAUAAGAGACUAAGCUAUAGACCUCUAUGCAAAUAAAUUCAAAAACCUAGAUGAAAUAGAUAAUUUCCUAGGGAAAUAUAUAUAUUUACCUCAUUAGAGUUAGAAAGCUUAAACAAACCAAUUUUCAUACAAGAAAUAGAGAAAGUUACUAAGGAGCACACCCCCACCUCCCACCAGACACACACACAAAUCACCAGGCACACAUGAUUUCACAGGGGAAGUCUACCAAAGCUUCAAAUACUAGCUAGUUCCAUUGCUCUAUAAAUUGCUCCAGAAUAUUGGAAAUGAAAGAAAACUUUUUAAUCCUUUUUAUAAUACAAAUAUAAUACUCACACCUAAACAAAGACAAUGCAAAGAAAUAAACACUCACGAAUAUCAGUGCAAAAAUUCUAAACAAAAUAUUAGUAAACAAAAUACAACACAUUUAAAUCUCUUCAACACUAGCAAAAGGUUGUCUAGCCACACCCUUAACUUUCUUUCCAGAACAUGCUUACCUAACAGCAAAUCUCCUCAUUUUAGCAGCAUUUGUAGUAGACUAGAUAGGCUGAUGAUUUCUCAAAUUAUCAAGUGCUGGUUUCUCUUUGCUUAACAAUUCUUUUCUCAAUUUGUGUCUUUCCUUUGUCAUUUUACUAUAAGCGACAAGAAGAAACCAGGCUGCACCUUCAAUAUCUUACUUGGAAAUCUCCUCAGCUAAAUACCCAGGUUCAUCACUUACAAAUCCUGCUUUACACACAACUGUAGGACACAAUUCAGCUCUCCUUUCUGCCACUAUAUAGCAAAGAUCAUCCUUCUUCCAGUGGCCAAUAACGUGCUCCUCAUUUCUGAGUCCCCACCAAAAGUGCAUUUAAGAUUUAUAUUUCCACCAACAGUCUGUUUAAGGCAAUCCAGGCUUUUUCUAUUAUGUAUCUCAAAAUUCUUCUAGCCUCUACCCAUUAUCCAGUUUCAAAGCCACUUCUACAUUUUUAGGUAUUUGACAGCAGCACCUCACUUCCUAGUAUCAAAAUUUCCAUCAGUUUUCUAUGGCUACUGUUACAAAUUACCACAAACUUUGUGGCUUAAAACAACACGAAUUUAUUCUCUCAUAGUUCUGGAGGCAAAAAGUCUGGAAUUCAGAUGUUGAGAGGGCCAUGUGCCCUCAAUAGACUGCGAGAAUCCAUUCCUUGCCUCUUCCAGCUUCUGGUGGCCAGCAGCAUUCCUUGGCUUGUGAUUACAUCACUCCAAUCUCUGCUUCCAUCUUCACAUUGCCUUCUCCUCUAUGUAUGUGUCUGGUCUCACUCUACCUCUCUCUUAUAACCACAUUUGUGAAGGCAUUUAGGACCCACUUGGAUAACUGAGGAUAAUUUCCUCAUCAGAAGAUUCUUAAUUUAAUCACAUCUGAAAAAUCUUUAUCACAUAAGGAAACAUUUACAGAUUCCAUUGAUUAGGAUCUGAUGGCCAUUAUUCAGCCCGCUAUAAAGAACAAUAACUCUAAAGGAAAGAAAAUCAUCUGACUAUCUCCAUAGACACUGAGAAAGCAUUCGUCAAAAUUUAACACACAUUAUGGUAAAACUAGUCCAGUAUAUAGGAAUUGAUGUAUACUUUCUCAACAUAGAUAAGUAGUUCCAAAGUCAAUUUCUUAUUUAAUGGAGAAACACUAGAACCAUUUCCACUAAGAUCAGGAGUGAGACACAAAUCUCCACUGUCUCUGCUACCAUCAGAGGUACUAGCCAAUGCAAUUAGGCAAGAGAAAUCAAUUAGAGGCAUGGGAAUAAUUAAAGAAGAAGGAAACCUAUAUUUGAAGAUGAUAUGAUAAUAUACCUGGAAAACCCCAGAGAAUCAUUAAUAAAAUUAACUCAAGCAAUAAAAGAAUUUGUUGAAGUAGCAGGAUGUAAAUUGACAUAUAAAAAUCAAUAGGCUUCAUAAAAAUAAACAGGGGACAUAAUGAUAGAGAAAAAAGCAUUUACAAGAGGAUCAAAAUGUAGUAAAUAUUUAUGAAUAAAUUUAACAAGAAGUGUGCAAACCUGUACAAGGAAAACUUUUUAAACACUCCUGAAAGACACUACUAAAGUCUUGGAUAAAUGGAAAGACAUCCCCUAUUCUUGGAGAGGACUAUGGCAUUAUACAAAUAUCAGUUCUCCCUAAGUUAAUUUACACAAAUUUAAUACGAUUCCAAUAAAAUAUCAACAAUCUAUGUUCUAGAGUUAAAGUUGCUACCACAGUUCAUACAGGGAAAAAAAACAUGCAGGAUUGGUAGAAAAACACUAAAAAAGAAAAAAUGCAUGUGGUGACUAGUCUUACCAGAAAUUACAACUUUCUAUAAAGUCUUGACAAUUAAAACAGUGUGGUGUUGGGACAACAGAGACAUAAACAAAUAGAUUAGUGGAAUUGGAUGGUCCAGAAUUAGACCCAAAUGCAUAUGGAAAGCUAGCGUAUGACAAAAGUGGCAUCUCAAAUCACUGGGAUAAUGAUGAACUUUUUAAUAAAUAGUUCUGGAACAACUAGGUAGUCAUUUGGAAAAAGAUAAAAUUAAGUCCACAUUUCACAUUGAACAGUAGAAUAAACUCCAAGUAGAUUAGGAAGUGUAACAACUGAAACCAUUUGAUAUAGAGGAAAACAUGGCUAAAUUAUUCUUUAACCACAGUAAGGAAAAGGCUUUCUCAUUAUGAUUUAAAAUCCAGAGACGAUUUUUAAAAAGCACACGUUGAUAAAUUUGACUGCACACAAAUUAAAAUUUUUCCAUGCCAAAAAAAUACCAAAACAAAGUCAAGAGACAACUGACAAAUGGGGAGAAAAUACUUCAGCAAAUACUAGAGCAAGAGAGCUCAUAUUCCUCAAACAUAAAGAAGUCUUAAUAAUUGAGGGACAAAGAGAAGGAUCAAAAUCCUGACAGAAAAAUGAAGGAAAGACAUAAACAGAUAAUUCACCAAGAAAAAGAGAUAAAAAUGGUCCUUAAAUACGCAAAAAAGUACUCAAACUCACUUACAAUUAAAGAAAUCCAUUUCUCACCUAUCAAAUUGGCAAAAAUUUGAAAAUAGGAGAAUUGCUUCUACUAGUAAAGUUCUUUGGUGAAGCUCUGGGAAACAGACACUUCCAUAUAUUCCUGGUGGGAACGCAAAUUUGUACAAUCCUUUGAGAAGGACAUCAGGAAAUGUCUAGCAGAACUUCACAUGCAUUUUCUUUUUCACCUAGCAAUCCCACUUCCAGGGGCUAUAUCUCCAACUUUGCAAAAAUACAUGUGCACCAACUUAUUCAUUGCUGCAUUGCUUGUAAUUGCAAAACACUGGAAAUGACUUAAAUGCCCAUGUGUGAGAGAGUGCUUGAAUAAAUUGGUAUAUCCACACAAUGGAGUACUAUGCAACUGUGUAAAAGAAUGAGGAAAACCGUGACAGGUAUUAAAUGAAAAAAGGCAAAGCCCCAAAUAGUAUCUAGAGUAUGUGAUCCUUUGUGUACGAACUUAGAUAUAAGAAAAUACACGUCUGCUCAUUCAUGCAAGAGAAAAUGAAGAAGGAUAAAAAGGAUUUGAGGGGCCGGCUCCGUGGCCAAGUGGUUAAGUUCACGAGCUCCACUGUGGCGGCCCAGGGUUCGGAUCCUGGGCAUGGACAUGGCGCCGCUUGUCAGGCCACGUUGAGGUGGCGUCCCACAUCCCACAACUAGAAGGACCUGCAACUAAGAUAUACAACUGUGUACAGGGGGAGGAUUGGGGGAGACAAAGCAGAAAGAAAAAAAAAAAAGAUUGGCAACAGUUGAUAGCCCAGGUGCCAAUCCUGAAAAAAAAAGAAAGGAAGGUGCCAAUCUUUAAAAAAAAAAAAAAAGGAUUUGAAUAAACUCAAAGUAUCUCCCUCAAAAUACUUAUCAAUAAAAAGGGAAAGAUAGUAACUUUAUGGUCCAGCAGAAAUCAGCCCAACUAAGUGAUCAAGGUAAAUAUUACCAGUAACAAGAUAUAUCAACAUCAUGAAUUCCUUCAUAUGACGUGAUGAAAAAGGGACACACUAUCAUUUCUGUGAUAUUCUUGCCAAAAGUGCAUAAUCUAACCCAAAUCAUGAGAAAAUAUUAGACAAAUCUAAAUUAAAGGACAUUCUACAAAAUUACUGAUUGCUACUCCUCAAAAGUGCCAAGGUCGGGAAGGACAAGGAAAGACUAAGAAAGUGUCACAGACUCACAACGUGAGGUCCUGCAUAGGAUCCUGGAACCCGAAAAUAAUACUUGCAGGAAAAUCACUGAAUUUCUAAUACAGUCUGUAGUUUCGUUCAUAAUAUUGUACUAAUGUUAAUGGCCUAUUCUUGAUAUUUAUACUCUGGUGAUGAGAGCUAUUAACACAAGUGAAAGCAUAGUGAAGGAUUUAAAGGAAACCUUUAUAGUACUUUUUCAACAUUUCAUAAGUAAAAUUAGUUCAAAAUAAAAUGUUGUUUUAAAGCCAAAAAUGGAUCUCUUAACUUCUAUUCAGGGUUUUUUGGAAACCUCCACCUUUCCACAAUUUUCCCAUGAAAGUUUCAAAACAUUUCUAAAACCACAUACCACUAAUCUUAAGCUCACAGUGAUCAGAAGGGCAGCCUUGCAGGAUGCCAAAUUAGUCAAGAAGAGGAGAAAGCCAAAGGGGCACCAGAGGAAAUGGAGCAGCUGAGGGAGAGAUUUUUAAAUGACCUCUUUUGUGUUGCUAAAUUUAUUCAUAACCUGGAAUAGGCUACAACCAUCAGAAGGACACAAAACUCAUCAGGUAAAUUCAAAGACUUUUUAAAAAUGCAUCUAACCACCUCCUGUCCAAAACAUUCAAGCUUAACCUUUCUCCUGAAAAUGCAAUCUGCUCUUUACACCCUGCCCGCAUACCAGACUCCGAGACCUAGAUUGUCACACGAGCAGAACCAUCACCUUGUCCUGAUUCAAUAGGUUCGUGUUACAUUAUCAGCUUGAGAUCCUGGGGGUAUGUGGAGAUGUGCCUAUUCAUUGCUGAAAGAGUUCACGCACAAUUUAUGUCCUUCACAGAACUGUGUUCUUAAAACUAUUUUUGGAAUCCAUUUAAUUAUGUUUUUCAAACAACCACAUUAGGAGGUGAUUGUUCUUCGUAUUAGAAGUAAAAGAAAUGAGACAAAGAUCUCAAAACAAUUAAAUGAGAUGCUCAUGAUAAAAAGACUUUGAUAAAGACAACACCAGAUGUAAUAUCUCCAGCCUCUGCAUCCUCUUUUUGAUCUAGAAGAUUGUGCUUCUAUGGGAAAUGUGUACAUGGAGCUACUGAGCGCCGGUAAUCCAGCUGACAUGGCUAUAGGCAUCACAUUCACAAUGUAGUGAUGUACUUUGAUUGCUUCGGUCUUUACACUUUUUGAAGCCUUCUUCAUGUAUUUUAUUUAAUUUUAUCCUCAAACCACAUUGUGAGCACAGGUAGGAUAGAUAUUUCCUUUUAAUGAUGACGCUAUGGCUGAAAGGUUGUGUACCCCAAAAUUCAUAUGUUGAUACCCUAGUUCCUAAGAUGAUGGUGUCAGAGAUGGGGCCUUUGGGAGACGAUUAGGCGGUGAGGGUGGAGGCCUCAGGAAAGGGAUUAGUGCCCAUUUGAAAGAAGUUCCAGAGAGCUCCUCUGGCCCUUCCACCAUGUGAGGACACAGCAAGAAGCGGAGAAGUCCGAGACCCAGGAGAGGGCCCUCACCCAACCACGCUGGCACCCGGAUCUCACACAUCCAGCCUCCAGAACUAUGAGAAAUAAGUUUUUGUUGUUCAUAAACUACCCAAUCUCUGAUAUUUUGUUAUAGUGGCCUGAAUGGACUAAGACAAAAGAUAACACCACACUAUUCAAUAACACUUUAAACUACAUGAAGCCCCCUUAUUGACAUUACCUUACUUAGGUCCUACUAAAAGGAAAAGUGUAAGUUAGUAUUACCCCCAUUUUCUAGAUAACUGAGGCUCAGAGAUGGGCUGAUCCAACGUCACACAGUUAGUGAGGGGAGAGAUGGGAUUUAAGAGCAAGUUUUCUGACUCAUAAUCUAGGAAUUCUCCCCCACUAUGCCAUAGCUGCCUAUGAAAAUGAGGAGAAAUUACAAGUUUCUACUGACUCCAAAAAUGAGUUCACGCAUGACUUCAUGCUAGAAGGGACUCUAAUGGGAUCAUUCUGCUUAGCUGCUUAACCACCACUGCUGUCCCAGUGGGGCCUGGCAGAAACAGAACACGGGCACAAGUUUGCGAGUAAGAGCAGCCCCAGACCAGGCAGCAGGCUAGGAUUCGGGCAGUUGUCUGUAUGGAUGUCAGUGGUUCACUUAGGAACCACUCCCAGGAUGUUCGGAGAGCCAGAGAGAAUGUAUGUUAACUCAUUAAUUAAAAACUCAGAAAGAAUCAUUAAAUAUUUGAGGUAGGAGACAGUGAAGCUUAGGAUGGCUCCUAUUGUACAAAAAAAAAUUGAUUGAGCCAGCUCUGUAUGCUUCCCUUCUUGCCCUUGCAUGUCUUCAAGAUAUGGUGCGCACCUUGCCUAGCCCGGGAGAACUGAGUUUCACAAAUAACAGGACUCCAGAGUCAGGCUUGACCCUUCAGUAUGCUGCUGGGUUCCAUGAUGUUCCAGAGUCUGACCAGGGUCUAUGAUAGAAAGAAAAGAACCAAGAAACUGAAGAGGGAAGGGCUGUAGGAGUGAGGCGGGUGUGCAGAGAAUUGCCUUCCUCCUGGUCCCUGGCUAUGCUGAGGGUGGCGCCUAGGGCGAAAUUCUGGCCACCCCUGUAAUGGCCCACAGAGUUCAGUUGGACAAAGCUCACUAAUCUGGCAGCUGUCACUUCACUUAGAGAGACAUGAUCGAUUUUAUUGCCUGUGGCCUGGAGUCUGGGGCCACACCAGGUGUUGCUGCCAGGUGCAGGCGGAGCUGGCCCUCCCCGUGGCUUCUGCAGGACAAGAGUUUGGAGGCCUUUUCCUCCAGAGUUGAGGGGAUUGGGGUUUGCCUCUGCUGGUUUUUAUGUGGCUGCUUUGGGGGAAACUUUCACAAAAGCGUAAAGCGGCGUUCUGAUAAAUGGUGGCAUGAGAGCUGCGCGGGAGUUCUGGCCCUGAAGGUCACCAGGAAAAGACCAAAACUGGUAAAUUCAGGGAUGUUUUGUCCCGAACUUGCAAAUCCAAACAAUCUCACAGUCAUGAAAUGGAAAGUUUGUGGGAAAAACAAAUGCUUUGGUUAUUACAGUGUUACUACAUUCAUAAAAUAUAUUUCAUUGGGGGGGAGUUUACACAGGGGGUAAUGAGAUUUUUGCUUUAUACAUUAUUUAUCACUGCUUAAUCCAGGUACUGUGGGUUAUUUUUUUAUUCCUUCGUUUUCACAGCUACAAAACACUUCAGUAUUUCUAAUUUAUUUCUGCUUACAAUACAGAUGUUCUCAAUUGUGUUUCUAACUACAUUUCAACCGUUAUGAUCGUGUUUAUUUGUUUGUGUCAGCAG
ensembl:lncRNA